CUUGGCCCCGCGAACACCUUCCCUCUCGCCUCCCGCAGGAGAGGACGACGCCAUUCCGCCACGACUACCAAUUUCAUAUCAGAAGGAGCCCAGCUUGCAUCCACUCACCUUGAAGCGAAUAAAGCCGAAAGCCAAGGACACUUUUAUUAUCCACCUUAAGUACAUCUCUCGUGUCGCUCACAUCUGAUGGCAGCGGUGUCCACGAGCCUCACAACGCCGAUAGUUCGCCGACCACGCCUCUGUUUCGAAGUUCCGCACUAAGUAUAUACAGGUUCCUCAUAGGCGAGGGCGUCGCCGCUAUGCCGGAAGUGUGGCGAUCCUACCUCGACCAGACAGCUUCCAGAACCGAGGCCGAAGAAUGGAGGAAGGAGAUCGACGGAGCGACCCUCGAGGAGGUGGAAGAGUCCUGUGGUCGCGUUAUCGACUUUCUCGGGUACAAUCAUUUCGCUUCUACGAGAGAAACGAGAAACCUGACCAUUCCGCUCCUCAUAUGAGUCUUGCAUGAUCGGCCGUAUUUUUCUUACGAGAAAUUCCUACUUUUUCCCCAAGGGCUCACGUCCCCCUUCGAAAUUAUUGAAACGUGAAGUAAGACCAGGAGAUGAGUGGAGAGGCUGGCAAAAAAUAAUUCCU